rnacentral:rRNA from 1 species
AACGAACGCUGGCGGCAGGCUUAACACAUGCAAGUCGAGCGCCCCGCAAGGGGAGCGGCAGACGGGUGAGUAACGCGUGGGAAUCUACCCAUCUCUACGGAAUAACGCAUGGAAACGUGUGCUAAUACCGUAUACGUCCUUCGGGAGAAAGAUUUAUCGGAGAUGGAUGAGCCCGCGUUGGAUUAGCUAGUUGGUGGGGUAAAGGCCUACCAAGGCGACGAUCCAUAGCUGGUCUGAGAGGAUGAUCAGCCACACUGGGACUGAGACACGGCCCAGACUCCUACGGAAGGCAGCAGUGGGGAAUAUUGGACAAUGGGCGCAAGCUUGAUCCAGCCAUGCCGCGUGAGUGAUGAAGGCCCUAGGGUUGUAAAGCUCUUUCACCGGUGAAGAUAAUGACGGUAACCGGAGAAGAAGCCCCGGCUAACUUCGUGCCAGCCGCCGCUGUAAUAC